rnacentral:lncRNA from 10 species
CUCUUCGUGAUCAGGUCCAGAGGAGAGGACGCUUGUGCCCAGGACUCCGCUGCCAGAAGAAUCUAGACAAUCCAAGCAAAACGGGUACCUUUGUAAUAGCUAUGGAGAAAGCACUUAAUAAAGGUCAUCUUUUAAAUUAUUGGUCGCUCAGACAUACGUGUUGCCGUAUUUCUUUGGAGUUUCCCUGAUUUCGACUAGAAAUUCCUCCUUUGGACACUCCCCCAGCUCCCCACUCCUCUAUUCCUUUCGUUUUUUUUUUUUCAUUGAACCAUUACAGCCUAGUACCAUAGCAAGAAGAGACCCCUCAGUACCUUCUUGAGAUCCAAAUGGGAAGACAGUUGUAGAAACACAGUUUUUACAGCUGCGGUCGCAUUGCUACCAGACUAGAGUCUAUUCAUCUCCGUAUUCCUGGUGCACAGUAUGGGGCUUGGUAUAUAGUAGGGGCUUGUUGAAUGUUUGUUGAAUGAAUCAAUGGCAGGGAUCCUAGCCAACAUUUAUUUAUUUUUAAGACGGAGUCUUGCUCUGUCGUCCAGGCUGAAGUGCAGUCGCGCGAUCUCGGCUCACUGCAACCUCUGCCUCCCAGGUUCAAGCGAUUCUCCUGCCUCAGCCUCCCAAGUAGCUGGGACUACAAGUGCGCGCCUCCAUGCCCGGCUAAUUCUUGUAUUUUUAGUAGAGAUGGGGUUUCAUCAUGUUGGCC